rnacentral:rRNA from 1 species
CCUACGGGAGGCAGCAGUGAGGAAUAUUGGUCAAUGGACGCAAGUCUGAACCAGCCAUGCCGCGUGCAGGAAGACGGCUCUAUGAGUUGUAAACUGCUUUUGUACGAGGGUAAACUCAGAUACGCGUAUCUGUCUGAAAGUAUCUUACGAAUAAGGAUCGGCUAACUCCGUGCCAGCAGCCGCGGUAAUACGGAGGAUCCAAGCGUUAUCCGGAUUUAUUGGGUUUAAAGGGUGCGUAGGCGGUCGGAUAAGUUAGAGGUGAAAUCCCGAGGCUCAACUUCGGAAUUGCCUCUGAUACUGUUAGGCUAGAGAGUAGUUGCGGUAGGUGGAAUGUAUGGUGUAGCGGUGAAAUGCUUAGAGAUCAUACAGAACACCGAUUGCGAAGGCAGCUUACCAAGCUACUUCUGACGUUGAGGCACGAAAGCGUGGGGAGCAAACAGGAUUAGAUACCCCGGUAGUC